AAACAAAUCCUCUUCUCCACAUCGCUUCCAGUACCUCUCGCUCUUGUUCUUUUCGUUCAACACUAUUAUUUAUUAAAAGGUAUUUGUGACACGCGAUACGGCACCGAUGUGUACGUCACUGUGAAGAUUGAAAAAACAUUUUUGCUUUGAAACCAAUGGAGAGCGUGACCUGAAUACCGGAAAUAGGUCUGUUGUUCACUUGAACACGUAUGGUGGAUUUCUACUCGGGGAGGUAGAUUUUUAGGCCCCCACCACUCUCAAACAAGCGGAUUUUCACCGCGUGGUGGAAAAACCACGCGACGGCUACGUGUAGCUUCUGUUCAAAACGACACGUUAUCGACGAGUGGCAGUGUACAGUGUGGCUGUAUCUUUCGUAAAUGGUGCAUGUGGUAAAAUCUUGCUUGUUCGAGUGUUGUUCUCUGGAUACAACGUUCCCAACGCGUUUCCACGUGUUUUUCAAUCGUUUAGAGAAAAAUAUUUUUUAUACUUUUUGCCGGGAGGAUAUUUCAAAAGGAGAAAGAGGAUUCGUUAUUCUCUAACUUUUCCCCGUGUGUUCCGAGUUAAUAUAAUUUCAAAAUAUUGAUUAUAAUAUAUUAUUUCUUUUCUUUGAAUCGAUAUCUAUCUAGUUAUUUUUACUCGAUCAAAUAUUUAAAUUCGUGUGCACGUUAAUAUUUAAUUUAAGUCAGAUGUACGUUCCAUUUUCACGUAAGAUUAUUAUUUACGUGAAGUUUUUUCCUUUUUUUUUUUUUAGUAAAAUUAAUGAAACGUGAUAUUUACGAUAAAUUCAUAUUUUAGUUUAUUAUCUCAAAAUACGAGGAAUUAUCGUUUCGUUAAAAAGAAAAUUGAUAUGAUAUCAUAUUUCAUGCGAUACUUGAUACGAUUAUAUCGAUUCAUUCUACACUGUGAUUCUGUUUGCAUUAAAUCUAAACAAUUAAUUUAUUAAUUAAAAAUUAUUCAAAGUAUUCGAAAAACUAUAAAUUAAUUAUUUAAAGUUAGAAUUAAAGUUGUUUGUUCGUUUCAAGUGCUUAAUUUAAUACUCAAACUAUAAUAUAAUCUGUUUUCUAUACUUUAUAAUCUAUCCUUUAGCUUGUUCGCAAUCGAUCGAAGUAUCGUAUAUAAUAAAUAUUACAGCAUCUCAUUUAAAGUUUCAAGAAAAGAUCUAAUAAUACAAAUUCAAAAUGUGCAUUGUAACAAGAUUAUAUGCCGUUUCUGUCUGUUUACACAACCAUUGCCUAUUAUUUCGAUACGAAUAUACAUAUAUAUAGUUAUUGCCCCACCAAAAUAUUAUCGCAACAUUUACUUUGCACGCUACUUGUGGAAUUUAGCCAAAAAGCGUUUGUCAACUUUGCGAACCAGUGUUUGUACGUACAUGUAAUCCCCGGCAAAUGAGGCGUUGAAGUUACACGGUACGAUGACUCGAUUAUAAAAUAUUCUUCUUUGAAGUACCCACCCCUCACGGAUGUAAUGUACAGAAAUAUACCGUUACUCCACCAUGCUCACGCUCCACUUCUGCAAAAACGAUAAUUCACCAUCAUGGCUUAUCGAGCUUUAAUACAAGCAAGAGUUAUAAUCCGGUAUCUUUACACAUUGAAUUUCAUUAACUCCGUUAACACCGCUGUUAACACCGUUACUUAGAAACUUUAAUUCGAUUCGACGCAUGAAAGAAUUCGAUUAAUAUUCAUAAUAUUAAUAAAGACGUCGCCUAUCUAAAAACCAUUAUCGAUAAUACCAUAUACUCGUACCUUUAUCCUCAAAUUCGUACAAAUCUAUCUUCAUAACGAACCAUAUAUAUAUAUAUAUAAUAACCAUUGUUGAUUUUCAUCGUCGAGAUAACAAGAAUAUAUAUCCAAUCUCUCACAACGUACGUUGUAAAGGAUGCUACUGUCAUAAUUUUACGAUCUUCGUAAUAGGGUAGGUUACGUAAAAUAUUGGGGCAUCUUUCAAGAUCUCAGCCAGAUUAACGCUAUAAAGUCACGUUCCGCGUUGGAACAGAAAGGAUCCAUCCUUUGGAACGGCGGCGGAUCGAUCGAUGCGAUCUAAUAUUCGAAAUGAAUCGUGCAGCGCGCAGAAACGAUGGGGCGCAUUACAAUAAUGGGUGAGACUAACGGUUUACCUGACAUUGCGGAAUCGUGAUACACAAUGGCGUUGAAACGGGCAGCCGAGUGUCCAGUCAGAGAAUGACAGAAUCCAGGCAUCGUCGAAUCGUUAGUUUAGUUUCUAACAAUGACGCGUAAAGAUACGAUGGCGCAGAUGGAGCAAUCUGAACUUAAAGAGCACUUGAGCGUGAGUACGACACCAGUCGUGAAGAGAAAAUUGAAUAGUUGUGCGGACAGGUUGUUGAAUCGAAUAAAGUGGGAAAACGUCGUUAACUGGAUCUCGCGGUUCUUUAGAAGUUGAUAAGAAAUCUGAGAACCGUGUUGAAGGGUUGAAUCCCUUGAUACCAUUCGACCAUUUUUCUUUCGAAAUUUUUUCCGUCCAUUAAAAAUUUGCAUUAUUACAUUUAUUUGGAUCGCUGUUAUCUUAAAAGUAUAAAAAUGUAAAAAAAAAAAAAAGAAAAGAAAAAGAAAAGGAGAAAAGUAUAAAAUGGAGAAGGAAAUUGAAGGUACUUAUUUUGAAGCCAUUUAAAACGAAUAACCAAUUAAGCAAUUUUUAAUUAAUUCUCCUUACAUUUCUGUGAUAAAAUUUCCACCCUUACCAUACCGUAUAAACUUAAAAUGUCGCAAGAGUCACGUUUUGCGGAAAUUCAAGGAUGGAACUGGUAUGUAUGGAGAUUUUGAGAUGUUUCAUACGAACGUAGUCGUAAGGGAAUUAACUUCGUUAGAGUAUAAACUUUUUUUCAUACUUAUAACAAAAUGUAAAACUCCCAAGUACAAAAUUUAUUUUUAUUUUCAUUAUAUUUUUCCAACUUACAUAUUAUUAUACGAAAUGUACGAUGUUUGCUUUGAUGUUUUAAUGUUUUUAAAAACAUGUUAUUUCGAAAUGUAGGAUAAACAGAUGCAAAAAAAAAACAAAUAUCGAAGGGAGAUACAUAAUAUCAUUUAAAAAUAACGAUCUCAUUCUGUUGCGGAAGACAAGUAUUACAGUUGCAAAUUUGUUCUUAAAUUUUAUUUAUCGCUCAAUUUUCCGAGGGGAAAAUUGGAUACGAAAGAGAAAGAAAUACUUUGCCAAUUUCGAGAUAAAACUUUCCUAAAGAUAUUUGUCACAGGUUUACGAGGUCUGGCAAAUAUCAACACUUGAUCGUUGUAUCGCUAUAUUUAUACACAUUCCAAUCCGAAUCGGAAAGAAGGAAAAGAACUCUUUCAAAAACUCUAUAAAAAAAUUAAUAACUAUAACUGACUAUUGCGAUAUUCGAAAAGGAAUCGAGCAAGUAUAUAUCACAAUAAGCGAUUAAAUACAAAAUAAAUACGACACAAUAAUAUAUCACUUCUCUCUUCAGGCAACGAGAUCUAUUAUGCAUAUACUAUCGUUUACCUCUACUGUUAGGGCCAACAGUUUUCAUCAAACAUUCAAGAAAUUUUCGUCGAAAGUUCGAUACAAACGAAAUUUAUUCCGUAUAUUUCGAAACAGCCCCCGCACCCUGUUCACCCCGUGAAAGACACUCGAGGAUCGUACACGAAUGGCGGAAAGUAGUCGUUAACCGCACCGUUUACAGGCUAACAUAAUCGUUGCAAGCCCGAGUCAAGCUGGGUUCGAAGGAAACGGAGACUUUGAACCCCUCGCCACUUUCGCCGCAGUACACGCACCCGCAUGCAAAUUCCCGCAUUAUUCUUGCGUGUAAGCGGGCCUGUCCUCCCAUCUUCUUCUCCUUUCUUCUUCUUUUUUUAUUAUUAUUAUUAUUAUUCCACGCGGCGUUGCUGGAACAGUGGUUUCUUCUCGUCAAUUCUCCCCGUGGCACUUUGCGGCUCGUGGGCGAGCCGUAAGCCACGCUAUGACAAAACCUCCGCGAUUUCGCAGGGUGGUGAUAGUGGUGGUGGUGGUGGAGGGAUGGUAAAAAUGUUCACGAGUGUCUCUGGGGGAUUUCGAGGCUGCGGGUUAUUGACGCUGAUCCUUCCUGUUGUACGACUCUAACCUCUGAAAUCCGUCUUUCGAGGGCACGAGGCGAAAAAUGUGGACAGAAUUUAUAUCGGGAGGGGAAAGGGUUUCCUUUUUUCUCUUCUUUCUCUCAAAGUUUCGUACACGUGUGCAGAUAUCACGCCUUUUGUUUUAUGGUUUAUUUUUUUUUUUUAGAAUAAAUUAUUUAUGGAAAUGGAAAUCGAAAAGAGGAAUACUUUCGCUGGGUGUUAAUCUAUUACUAUUAUUAUUUGAUACGGUUAAAUUAAGAAAUUUACAAUACAGAUUUGAAAAUCUUUGAAAAAUAAUUUAUAUCAAAAGGUAAUUUAAUGAUUAUAUAUAAAACGAAACGUCAAGUUUCUUAUGAAUAAUUCGAAUAUUUGUAAAUUUGUUAGAGCAAAAUAUUGCUUCACUGACACCCGCGAUAAAUUAUCGGAGGUUGAGUUGAGUGUAAUAAAUUAUUUCGUGGGUUUAAGACUGUUACUUCUGCCCGAACGAUCUGUAGCCACGAUUAAUCGUUGCGGGUCGAAAUAUUUCAUAGGUUGUAUCUCAACUGCGUUUUCCUGGUUCACGAAGAAACGUGGGUACGUGCACGUCGCUUCGAGAAGGAAGAUGUUUCACGCUUCAUUUGCCCGUACGGAGUGCUUUUGUAAAGAAUGAACGAUCGUUGUGGUUGACGGUACAUACUUGAGAAUUCGUUCGAGGAGAAACGCGAGAUACAGUGGUUGCAUUUCGUAUCGAUAAAUAUGGAAAACGAUGGGUAUUACUGGUGUGACGUACGUGUAACGCGACUAUAAUAAACGGCAUAAAAUGAUCCAACGUUUUCGUUAGAUAAACGAAGAAUUAAGAAAUAUUGAAAUAAUAACACGUGAUUUUUAAAUUAAGAUAUUUUUAAAAAAGUCCACUAAUUCUAAUAUAAACCUGUAUACCAUAUAAGAAGGAAUUAAACUGAAUUUCUUUGAAUUCAUACUUUGAAUUUCGUUAAAGAUUCGCCAUACAUCAGGAUCGUGUUUCAAUUCUUCAAAUAACAAACUUUAUGAUUGAUAUAAUAUUUUCUGUGUAAUUGGAAAGUUACCUCCAUAUUUCUCUCCAUUCUAUAAUCUCGAGAAACUUAUCUUCGUCAUCGGAAAUAAGACAAUGGAUUGAUUUUAUAUUAUUAUUAUUAAUAUAUAUAUUCAUAUUUUUAAGUUUAAUUUAUAAGUUACUUUUUUAAUCAAAAUUACUUAAUAAUAGCAAUCGGAUGUAAUUAUGAAUCUUUGCUUGUCGUUAACCGUGUAUCUUUUAACUUUGUAUUAAUUAAAAGAUUUGUUGAAUCCAAAAAUUCCUAUCUGUCCAAAGUUCAUGACUUAAAUAAGCCAUUAUUAUUGGCAUUACCGUUUGAAAAUGUAUGGAUACUCGUUCGUUUUGCGAUGUUACUUUUAAUUACAAAAUCGAAUUUCAAAUAAGAAUAAAAAAGAAAUAAGAAAUUAUCAUUUUACAAUGCGCGCACAUAUUUACGAAGCCGUAUUCCGUUUAAAGCUCGAUUAUUGAGAUCGACACUUGUUGUUCGAUGCGUGUAUACGUACACUGCGAAUAUUACCAAUGUAAGAUUUAUGUGGGUCAUUAUAUUCGAUUCGCGUAAUUAUCGCGGCGCGGGAGGGGCGCAUCGAAUGAUCGAACAACGGGGAAAUCACGUGAAAUCGUAACGUGGCACGUGUUGACAUGACGCACUUGUCGUUCCGUUCACGUAGCAAGAGAUUGUCCGGCUAUUAACAGCUAUAUGCGCUAAAUGUAUGCGAUUGAUGGACACUGAUUCAAUAUGCGAUUGACGUGGAUCGAAUGAUUUAAUGACAGUAAACCUUCUCUUCCCGAAAUUUCACGCGGAUGUCGCUGCCCGUUCCACGAGACGAGCGUGAAAAUUGAAUUAAAAGCUAGUAGCCCCACGCCGAAUACGAAACCGAUCGUUCAAUCCGACGAGAUCAAAACGUGCAAAAUCAUCGUCAUCUCGAUUCAACUUUUCGAAUCGAAUAGUUUUUAAAAAGGAAUAAUUAAUUAACAAUGAAUCUUCCUCGCAAAAUUUUAAAAUUCUUUCGAAAAAUGAAUCUUUAAUAAUAAAUACCUAUUCUAUGCCUUAAGUUGUAUAUAAUUUUCUCCCGUUUGCAUAUAACACUUACGAUUGAAUAAUUUUUCUUUUGAAUCUUCUUUUUUCUUGGAAAAACGAAAGAAUAAAGAUAAAAAGCAACCGAAAAGUUGUCUUUAAUAAUAAAUAUCUAGCUAUUGGUACGAUCCCCUGUGUUGUAUAUAAUUUUCUGCCGUUUGCUGCAUAUAACACUCACAAUAGGUAUACAUAGGUACACGAAAGAAUCAAUAUCCAGAGGUUGGCCGGGUCUCGUAUUCUGCAACGUGUCUAUUGACAUUAGUGAUAAACGUAACGUGGAAAGCUUUGAACGAAUUCGGUGAAUCCCGUGGGACUUCAUGCCAGUUAGGCAGGCAAUCUUCCCACUCCUUUGCGCCACAUUCGUGUUUCACGAGCACUGUGAAAGGAAAUGUAUUUUGGCAGAAAUUCAGAGAUUCCCCUUGCAGCUGCGGCCAGCUUCGCACUUUAUUAUAAUUUGAAUCACGAGUACAACUUCGUUAACUUCGCUUCUUUAAACGCUAUUUUUUGAACGUAUAUUUCAUAGAUUAUUGCAUUAAAUCUCUUAAGUGCAGCGCAAAUUUUUCCCCCGCGUGCUCGUCUUCCGCUUUCAAUUAACACAUUUUCCUUUCCUAUUUACUUUCCUUUCCUUUUCUCUAACAACUUGGAAAAUUAGAUAAGAUAACGCAAAUCUUUUCUUAUUUGAAUAAGAAUGCAUUUCGUGUCAUUUCUUUCCAGACGAUGUUCUCUUCCACGUUUCGUCUUUCACGUAGUUGUAUGUUCCUCGUUGUGUUCUUACCCUCGAAGAUCUGCUGACUCUUACUAUUUUGCUCGAUAUAUCAUUCGUAGAAUCAUUUAUAGAUACUCGAUGGCCGAUAUGCACAAUUCUGCAGCCUGAAAUCGGUAAUGCUGAAUUCGCUGAAGAACACGUGCGAAAGAUAUACUUCAUUUUCCUUCUCUUUCCUCCACUUUGCAUCAAUCAUCAGAAAUGUCGCCAAUUUAACGUGUUUAGCGUUAUAUAAAUUGUAUAAAUUGUGUAUCAUUAAUCUUCUUUCUCUCUCUCUUUCUCUCUCUCUUUCUCUCUCUAUUUCCGUCGCCAUUAAUAAUUUAAUUAACUAAAAUGUUGAGUAAUUUCGAAAUUAGGACAUUGAAAAUUUAGAAUGUGGUAUAAAUCAUUAUUGGUUAAACAAGCACACAUGUAUGCAAUGCCGAUAAUUUCAACGUUCCACGGACGAUCUAGUUUCGUAGCAAUUCGUGUUCCCAAUUAUUUAAUACGUUAGAAUUAACUAAAUAAAUGAUUUGACACUGUCACGGAUUCGAAUAAUUGCAUAAAUCAUUAAAUACAAACAAAUUAUCGACAAUGUACAACUACAAAUUUACGACCUAGUUAUUGAUUUUAAUUAUUUUCGAAUAACAUAAAUUUAUUCCUGCUGGAGCUUAAAAAUAGAAAUUAUAAUAUCGUAAAAUCAGGAUAAUAAUAUUUGGAUUUAUUUCGAGGAUCUUUCUAAACGGAGGAACAGAAGGAAGAGGAAGAGGAGUACUAUCUUUGGUUCACAAGGCAAAAUUUCAAAAGCACGAAAUUUAAAUUUAAUUCAAUAACGCACGAAUCAUAAUUUUCUGCUAUCUAGUGUUUCUAGAAUUUAUACAAAAUUGUCCUUUGAACGCACGACGACGUGGCCACGUGUCUAAAAGCCUAUCUGCAAAUGUUUCUAUUUAAACAGUAUACGCUUGCUACCUUCCUACCUACAAUUCCUCGUCCAUCUUCUCCUCUUCCAUUCACCAGCACAUCGAACCCGUUUCAUUCGUACGUGGAUCCUGUAUUACGUGUGUCGUGUAUCCGUAAGCAUGGAACCACGAAUCACGUUGGCUUACCUCGGUUUCCUUCGAAAUAACACGGCUUAUUGCCCGAACCGAUUCACGUGCAACCAAUAUUUCAUCUGUAUCGAUGCAGCAACAUUUUUAAAUAAUGUAUGAAUUAUAUAGGAUAAAGUGGAUUUUCGUCCACAAAUUUUAAUCCACUUUUCUCUUUCUUAAAGUGACGAGUGAUGAUCGUAUAAUUUAAUCUAUCCCGUGAAAAAAUAUAUUGAGCUCAUAGGUAUAUCUUUGCACAUAUGAAAUUUAUUAAUUUAUUUGAAAUUCUCGUUUUUCAUUCACGUUUUGCUGAAUCAAAGUAGGUUAAGUCGCGAUGAUAAGUGACAGUAGGCGGUGUUAUAGUGCAGACGCAGCUACGUGAAAGCGGAAACCGAAAUGAUGAGAUACGAAGCAAUAAUGCAUAACACAGGCACGCAAACAGAAAGGCUAUGUCAACCUCGGUAUAUAAGAUAUUUAGUCGCGAUAUUUGAAUACGUCUUACCGUACCGUGAGUAUUGGAGUAUUUUCGCGAAAAAUUCCAUUUCUGAAAAAUCUUUUUAUUAAAAAACUUAUAUGGACGUUUCCAUUAUAUAUUUCGACGUAGAAUGCUUUGCCAUUUUGGUAAAUAAAAAUAAUUAUCGUUGUUCGAGCGAACUUUUCUACAUUCUUUCGUUCAUGUAUAGUCAACGAAUUUUGGAAGGGGGAUAUUUUUUAUUAAUCAAACCACGUACGUAUUUAUUUUUUAAGAAUAAUUUUCGAAAUUGCACGUCUGGUUGACGAGUAAUUGUCGAGGUCGUCGAACUCUGACGAUCUUUUGUCGAUCGAUGUUACAAUUGUAUUCUGCAACAGAACAGUUUGUUCGACAUUUUCAAUCCGUUCUACUAUUUUGCCCGUUUUUUAUUUAUUUAUUUAUUUUAUCGAUUCAAAUCGUAAAUACUUAAAACAUGCACAAUCAGUUUCAUCGAGAGUAUCGUAAAUAAAGAUAUAGUAUCGUAGACACGUGUGUGUAUUUUAAUAGCACGAUAUAUAGAAAAUAUUUCACGAAAUAUUGAUCCUUUAAAAAAAAAAAAAAAUUUGUAACUUAAUACUUUAAUACGUGGAAGAAUUGAUCGAUCCGUAAAACGACUGUACACAUAUACAGUCCAUUUGAAAAAAAGUGCAAUCGUGCCUUUUUUGAUGUACGAGUGUAUUUACGAGAAAAAAUGAACCCGUAGGGAGAUAUAUAUAUUCCUUUUUAUAUCGUUUCCCCUGCAUUUUCUACCUCUAAAUAAACGCACACCGGCUGACCUGGACUAAUCGCGUGACACAGGUAAAUUUAUUUGUCAAAUUCAGGUCAUCCAUAAUUUGAAUUUCAAAAUCAAUAUUUCUUACUAAUUAUUAACAACAAUAUUCAUAUUGAUAUUUUUAAUUUAUUCAACGAAUUUCUAUUAGAAGAUAUUUAACAUUUCCUCGAUUAAAAAUAUAAUUGGCAUCCAUCCAAUACUUUGUAAAUUAUUAAUUGUCAUUGUUUGAACGAUAUCGCAUCGUUAUUUCUGAAAAUUUUCUUUGUCGUCGCAAAUAGUGAAAAUAUUUUUAUUAACAUCGAUCAAAUCCGGUGAGGUUGAGAUUCGAAAGAAAUCCGAAGAAAAAUCUUCCGUGUUAUUUUCACUCUUAUCUUUCUCGUAAUGUAGUAUUGCGCUGUUGAUACUGUGAACGAGACGAAGCUCUGAUCUCGAAAGGUCAAAGAUACCGAGGAAGGGGGGAGGGGGGAAAGAUAUAGAAGAGAAUACCGACCUUAAGAUAGAUAUCUUUUUUUACCCUUUCCAGUAAAUCGUUCUCAAGGGUGACCUUUAAUCAUAUUUGACCAGAAAUGGCUUUAUUAAACCGACGUUUCUCUCCAACAAAAUCGGAUUCCUUCCUCGAUCAAUAGAUCAUCCGAUUCUAAAAUAAAUAAAAAUAAAUAUAAUUACCUCGGUUCAAUUAAGAAAUAACAGAAAAAAAAUAUAAUAUCACUUAAAUCUUCUAUCCUAAUCUAAUUAUUUCAAUUUUUCAAAAACAAGAAAAAUUUAAUUUCCCUAUGGAAUUUACAGAAAAAUAUAAAACAGCUUAGAGAAUUAAUUAAAAAAAAAGAGAAAGAAAAUAUAAGAAUUACAAACAUAUAAAUUGCUAAUUGUUUUUUAAUUGUUUAUAUAUAAAAAAAUCAAUCGAUCAAAUAACUUAAUUUCAAAUCGACUACCAUCUAUCUUUUUCCUGCCAGAAGUCGAAAUCAAUUCCCCUUGAUUAAUAAUCUUAAUCGAUGUAAUUAAUUAAUCUUCGCGAUCAGUAACGUCUGCGAAACUGGAGAAUAGUCGAAUGGAGGAAACGUUAAUCGCAUGAUUCGUCGAUCUAACCAGUAAAUUGGGAAUACGUAUAUGCGUGCAUCUAUCGUGUUUCGGUACGAAUGGUUAUCGGGAACCGAAGAUAUCGAGACGAGGGGAGGCUGGCUGAGAGACAUCCGACAAGGGACAUUAGGGGUUGAGGCCACGAAAUAGAUGUCAUCGUUACCCUUCGAACAGCCCACCGGCCUAGAGACGAUCUUUAAUCACGGAUCCCUUUAGGAACUUAUCUGUCACGUUGCAACAUGUCCCUCUCCUCGAGGAGAAAUCCAUUUCUUUUCCUGGUCCAAACGACUGAUCAAAGUAAUAAUCCUGUGGCGGCGUAAGGAGUGAUGGAUCGAAUUACCGGCGAGCGGGUUAUUAACUCGAUUAUUGGUUCGUCAAAUUAAGCCUCGAAAGCAGGAUUACUUCUUUUUACACUUUUGGAACAAAGCUAUCGUAUAAAUUAAAAUUUAUUCUAUUUUUAAGCGAAUUCUAUUGUAUUAUUCUAUUGUAUAAUAGAUACAUACUUUGUGCGUAGGAGAAUGAAUUUUGUGCACAUAGAAUAUAUCGGAUAAUACAAUAAAGUGCACGCAUUGCACUUAUUCCGAUAACAAUUUAUUUCGCGUUGAAACGAAAUCGCUAUCGUAUAAUAGCAGAUUAAUUGAACGAAACGCGUUUGGAAAACGAGUAAAACUUUCCAUUAUCCAAAAUCUGCCCAUAAUUAUCUGAUUCGAUUGAACCAUAGUUCCUUAAUUUCGCAAAACAAACGACGAUAUCACGAAACUCGAGUCACCUAGCAACAACGACCGGCUCGAUCAACAACACGUAAUACGAGAGAGAGAGAGAGAGCAUCCAACGAAUCCUCUCGCCGACGGUUUAACCCGGGUCGACAUCAUCGACCGACCAUCAACCGCUUCGCCCAUCAUCCCUGUCUCCGGAUUUCGCAUUAACCUUCCCUCGAAAAUCGUGAGCGUUCGUUACCCUCACCAAGGAUCGAAGGGGGAUCGAAGGUGGGGCGUUGAAUCGUUUGAUGAAACGGGGAUCGUAGACGAUUCGUCGAUCGGCGCUCGAUACUUCCGCGAUGGCCCCCUCCUCUCGAUGCGACAUUGCCGGCGGAAUAAUUCAGGUAUAAUUGACCAGAUCGGCUAACAGCCACUGUUAAUUAGUAGUAGGCAGCCGUGUGGCGUGGAAGGUAUGACGCGAAGGUAUGAUGAGAUAUGAAUCGCGUUGGCGGAUCGUAGCUGGGGCUUGGAGAAUGCGGGUGAACGGCGGCCAACACGAAACGUUAAGCGGCGUCCGCACUUGACGAAAAAGCGCGAACAUCGACGAACGCUGUCGAUACGUGGUUUGUUCCAGCUGCCAGGUUUUAGGCUAUAUAAAUAUCGGUGGACGUUUCAUUUUAAUAUCGCGAAAGGGGAGGAAGGUUUUUAGCAUGAGGCACGAGUUCUGUUUUUCUCUUUCAUUCUUUGUUUCUUUCUUUUUUUUUUGUGGAAGGAAGAAUCGUGGAAAUAUUAUUAUUGGUCGAAAGUAAUGGAAACGAAGAACGCUUGAAGGGUGGAAAAUAUCGUUGGCAGGUCGGAAACAGGUUUUAGAUUUUUCUAGGUACGGGGGUGAGAAUUUGUUACACAGAUGCUCGACACUUGGGUGCUAUAAAUUAUACGAACGCGAGUGUCCCCUUCAGAAUGGUUUGUGUCUUAAUAUUUUUAUUCUAUUAAGGGCGAGUUUUGUUAUCCUUUGCUUCAUAUUUCAUAUUCCUCUCUUCCUUUUAACGCGACAUUCAUUUUAUAAUGAAAAAUAACUUUUCGCAUUUUUCUCUCGUCUUUUCAACAAUCCUACGUGAUAAAUCUUUUCUGGCGGAACGAUUAACCGUUCCCUAACUGUUUAUCCAUUUCAUCCAGAAGCUCUUUCUCCGCCAACGACGAAUUCUCCCUUCAUCGACACUUCUCGAGAGCACUCGUAAAUAUUGGCGAGCAUUCGUGUUCUCACAUCGUCUUCAUCAACAUCGAUCCACAAAUCCUUGCCAACCAUUUCCACGAUUCCAAUUAGAUUCGCCAAUAGUAUCGAGAAGAAUAAAAAAAAAAAAGAAA